GAUGAACGCUGGCGGCGUGCCUAAUACAUGCAAGUCGAGCGAACGGACGAGGAGCUUGCUUCUCUGAUGUUAGCGGCGGAGGGGUGAGUCACACGUGGAUAACCUACCUGUAAGACUGGGAUAUCUUGGGGAAACCGGAGCUAAUACCGGAUGAUCUUUUGAACCGCAUGGUUCAAAAGUGAAAGACGGUCUUGCUGUCACUUCUAGAUGCAUCCGCGCUGGAUUGGCUAGUUGGUAAGGUAACGGCUUUCCAAGGCAACGAUGCAUAGCCGAACUGAGAGGGUGAUAGGCCACACGAGAGCGGAGACACGGACCAGACGCCUACGGGAGGCAGCAGUAGGGAAUCUGACGCAAUGGGCGAAAGCCUGACGGAGCAGCGCCGCGUGAGUGAUGAAGGUCUUCGGAUCGUAAAACUCUGUUAUGAGGGAUGAACAGAUGUGUAAGUAACUGUGCACAUCUUGACGGUACCUAAUCAGAAAGCCACGGCUAACUACGUG
rnacentral:rRNA from 1 species